rnacentral:rRNA from 1 species
AUUGAACGCUGGCGGCAGGCCUAAUACAUGCAAGUCGAACGGUAACACGAAAAACUUUCCUUCCUUGUGUUCGAGUGGCACGGGUGAGAGAAAUGUGGAGAAAAUUCCUUUAUGACGGGGAUUAACUCCGGAAAACGGAAGUAAAAACCGAUAAACUUCUGAACAGCAUGGUGGAGAACUGAAAGGCGGCCUCGCUGCGACUUGUCGCUGGUUCCGCGAUCCAUUAGCUGGUGGGUCAGGUAACGGCUUACCUAGGCCACGACCCCUAGCCGUCCUGAGAGGAUGAUCGGCCCCACUGGAACUGAGACACGGUCCAGACUCCUACGGGAGGCAGCAGUGGGGAAUCUUGCGCAAUGGGCGAAAGCCUGAUGUAGCCAUGCCGCGUGUAUGAUGAAGGUCUUCGGAUCGUAAAGCACUUUCAGCAGGGAGGAACAGAGUUAAGUUAAUACCUGCACACCUUGACGUUACCCGCUGAGGAAGCCCCGGCUAACUACGUG